AGUGAACGCUGGCGGCAGGCCUAAUACAUGCAAGUCGAACGACAAGACGGUAAGCUUGUGCCUCUACCGGUGGCGGCGGGCGGGCGGGUGACACAUACAUCGGAUACUACUUUGUCGGGGAGGACAUCGUAGGGAAAGUGCUGCUACCAGAUCAUAUGAUCUACGGGAGAAUGCAAGGGAUCUUCGCAGCUUUGGCGUUAGUAAGAGCCGAAUCCGCAUUAGCUUGUCGGGGGGGUAAAGGCACACCAAGGCGACGAUACGUAGCCGAUCUGAGAGGGUGAUCGGCCACACUGGAACUGAGACGCGGUCCAGACUCCUACGGGAGGCAGCAGUAGGGAAUUUUCCGCAAUGGGCGCAAGCCUGACCCAGCCAUGCCGCGUGAGUGAUGAAGGCCUUCGGAUUGUAAAACUCUUUUGUUAGGAAAGAAAAACUGCGUAUGUAUACCUCCCCGUUCUGACGGUACCCAAACAGAAAGCACCGGCUAACUUCGUG
rnacentral:rRNA from 1 species